rnacentral:rRNA from 1 species
CAAUUGGAAAGAGGAGUGGGGGACGGGUGAAGUAACACGUGGGUAACCUACCCAUCAGGGGGGGAUAACACUUGGAAACAGGUGCUAAUACCGCAUAACAGUUUAUGCCGCAUGGCAUAAGAGUGAAAGGCGCUUUCGGGUGUCGCUGAUGGAUGGACCCGCGGUGCAUUAGCUAGUUGGUGAGGUAACGGUUCACCAAGGCCACGAUGCAUAGCCGACCUGAGAGGGUGAUCGGCCACACUGGGACUGAGACACGGCCCAGACUCCUACGGGAGGCAGCAGUAGGGAAUCUUCGGCAAUGGACGAAAGUCUGACCGAGCAACGCCGCGUGAGUGAAGAAGGUUUUCGGAUCGUAAAACUCUGUUGUUAGAGAAGAACAAGGACGUUAGUAACUGACGUCCCCUGACGGUAUCUAACCAGAAAGCCACGGCUAACUACGUGCCAGCAACCCGGUAAUACGUAGGUGGCAAGCUUGUCCGGAUUUAUUGGGCGUAAAGCGAGCGCAGGCGGUUUCUUAAGUUCUGAUGUGAAAGCCCCCGGCUCAACCGGGGAGGGUCAUUGGAAACUGGGAGACUUGAGUGCAGAAGAGGAGAAUGGAAUUCCAUGUGUACCGGUGAAAUGCGUAGAUAUAUGGAGGACACCAAUGGCGAAGGCGGC